rnacentral:rRNA from 1 species
GUGAACCUGCGGAAGGAUCAUUACCUAGAGUUUGUGGACUUCGGUCUGCUACCUCUUACCCAUGUCUUUUGAGUACCUUCGUUUCCUCGGCGGGUCCGCCCGCCGGUUGGACAACAUUCAAACCCUUUGCAGUUGCAAUCAGCGUCUGAAAAAACUUAAUAGUUACAACUUUCAACAACGGAUCUCUUGGUUCUGGCAUCGAUGAAGAACGCAGCGAAAUGCGAUAAGUAGUGUGAAUUGCAGAAUUCAGUGAAUCAUCGAAUCUUUGAACGCACAUUGCGCCCCUUGGUAUUCCAUGGGGCAUGCCUGUUCGAGCGUCAUUUGUACCUUCAAGCUCUGCUUGGUGUUGGGUGUUUUGUCUCGCCUCCGCGCGCAGACUCGCCUUAAAACAAUUGGCAGCCGGCGUAUUGAUUUCGGAGCGCAGUACAUCUCGCGCUUUGCACUCAUAACGACGACGUCCAAAAGUACAUUUUUACACUCUUGACCUCGGAUCAGGUAGGGAUACCCGCUGAACUUAAGCAUAUCAA